GAAAUGGUGCCAGCUUGCUUCUGCUUCUUCAUGCUAGAGCUCUCUUCUUCCAAGGUUCUCAAUUUGUUCUUUAUUGCAGCUAUCUUACCACUCCGACUCAUCUGCCCUGAAGUGCCACCAACAAUGCCUGUUUUUGUCAUCUCACCUACUGCUCUAGAAGAAUUGUGUGCAGCUUCCUCCAAGUGUUUCUCGCUGGCAAGGCGAACAACCAAAGGGCGGCCACAAGCUAAUCUCCCAUGCAUCUUCUCCUUAGCCAAUUUAGCUUCCUCUUUGUUGCUAAACUGAAUAAAAGCAAAGCCCCGUGGCUCUCCACGUUUUGGUCCACGAGUAUGCCAUAAGAAGUCCUCAGAUACAAUGUUGCCAUAUGGAGAAAACAUCUUAAUAAGAGCAGCCUCUGUUAUUCUCAAGUCAAGGUUGCCAAUGUAAAGUCUGCUUUCAACCUUCUCAUCAAUGAAACCAUUAGGAUCCAUAUCAGUUUAUGGUGCACAAGCAGAAAGAAUUUCAGUACUUCAAAGCAGCAGUCAAUACAAACCCUCAGAUUGAAGAUUGCCCGNUGUUAUGCGGCUCUCUGGAGAUAGGAACUAAUUGCAGACAGAUGAUCGAACUCAAGCGCGG
rnacentral:misc_RNA from 1 species